rnacentral:ribozyme from 1 species
GAAAGCAAAGAGGGCACGGCCAAGAGACAAAAGGAACGCCAGGGCCAGCAUCCUCAUCAUCAUCAAAAAGGCACGGGCACGCCAGAACAUCGGCAGCCAGCAGUCCAUCAGAAAAGAAAUC